ACAUUUGUUCUGUGUAGCCUUGAAUUAUGAACGUAUAUUUGAAGAACAAUUGUAGUACAAAGUUUUUCAGAAAAUACCUGUUGGUCUUUCUGGGUAUGGUCUGUUAAUUAGGAAGAUAACUACACAUACCUGUCUCGCGCAGUUGUUGUACGGUACAUCAUGUUUUUUCAUAGUAUCCAGAGCUCUCCAAUCCGGUGGAUUACCUACAUGCCAACUCCCUAUCGCAGCGCUAUCUAUCUCCCACUGAUCACCUUCUCCCAUAUCAUUUACUGCCUUUUGAAAAACUCCUUCCGCUAUUGGCGACCGGCAGAUGUUGCCUAUCAGAACAAAAUGUAUAAGUUUCACGAUGAUAUUUACAUAAAACUUUAAAAUAAAUACUUACCUAAACAUAUGAA